ensembl:lncRNA
CCCAGGGCCUUGCGUUUGCUAGGCAAGCGCUCUACCACUGAGCUAAAUCCCCAACCCCCACCUUGAUUCUAAUGAAACUUUAGUCAAAUACAAACAAAACUGGGCCACCACGGCAAGAGCACUGGGGAGGCAGAGGCAAGCACAUCUCCGAGUUGGGGCCAGCCUAAUCUACAGAGCAAGCUCCAGGAUAGUCAGGGUUACACAGGGAAACCUUGUCUUCAAAAAACAAAAAACAAACUAAUGAUAUAUUAAUUUCUAGGUUAAGUCUCCUUUCUCGUUAUAGUCUGGAGUUUGUGUAAUAUAGUCUCAUGUUUGUAUAAUAUAGUCUCAUGUUGCCCAUGCUCACCUUGAACUUACUAUGAAUCCAAAGAUGACUUGCAUUUCUUUUUUUUUAAGUAUUUAUUUAUUAUAUAUGCAUCAUACAGUUUUCUGCCUGCAUGUAUGCCUGCAGGCCAGAAGAGGGCAUCAGAUCUCAUUACAAAUGGUUAUGAGCCAUAUAGUUGCUGGGAAUUGAACUCAGGAUCUCUGGAAGAGAAGACAGUGCUCUCAACCACUGAGCCUGAGCCGUCUCUCCACUCCUGACCCUCCUACCUUUCCUUCCUUACCAAGUGCUCCAGUUACAGAAACGUGCAAAUGUGCUUGUCACCAUUUCUUCCACUGGAGACGGGGUCUUACAUAGGCCAGGUUGGACUUGAACUUACUAUCCUGCUGCCGCUCAGCCUCCACACUGUCGAGAUUAUCAGCAUACGCCAUUACACUUGGUCCAUUUCUUCAUUUAGUAUCUAUAAAACUAUAUUGCUUUUUUCAGUGAAAGUUGAAAUGCUAAAUCAUAUUAAUUACAUGCUUUCUAAAAUGGGCAGGUGCUAAUGUAUAACUUUUGUUUCCCCACAGCGCAUGGAUUUAGGAGAAUGUACCAAAAUCCACAACUUGGCCCUUCGAGCAGAUUAUGAAAUUGCAAGUAAAGAAAGAGACCUGUUUUUUUUAAUUAGAUAGUUUCCUUAGCCAUGGGAUCUCCAACUGCAUGCCAGAGUAACGGAGAGACUUUGACAGCCCAGGUCAUCAUAGCAGUUGCCACUCAGCUCUCCUAUAUGUUUUUCCACUGGAGUUAGGAGCCGUCUGUCCUUCUGCUGUCCUGUGGUAUUCACAACAAACUUUCCUUCUGCAGUGUACACUUGCGCGGUUCUUGGAAGAGUCUGAGGAGACAGCCUGUCAGCCUCUGCUCAUUAAGCUAAGGACCAUGUGACCAGUGUGGCGGCCAUUAUGUGAUUUGGUCUGCAUUAUUUGUUGGAAAAAUGCCACAAGAAGAUCACACUGGGAUUUGAAGUUUCUGGCUAAUACUUAGCCGGGUAGCCUUUUGUGGCCUGCAGAUCUUUAAGGCCAGAUUGAUCUACAAAGAGAAACAGCAUUUUUGGAAAAGUGAAAUACCUUUGUAACCUAACAUGCAAUUGGUUCAAUAAAGACUUUUGAAAUUUAAAAAAAAAAA